UACGAAGGGGGCUAGCGUUGCUCGGAAUCACUGGGCGUAAAGCGCACGUAGGCGGACUCUUAAGUCAGGGGUGAAAUUCCUGGGCUCAACCUGGGGGCUGCAUUUGAUGCGUAUGGGCUUGAGUGGGGAAGAGGGUCGUGGAAUUCCCAGUGUAGAGGUGAAAUUCGUAGAUAUUGGGAAGAACACCGGUGGCGAAGGCGGCGACCUGGUCCUUGACUGACGCUGAGGCGCGAAAGCGUGGGGAGCAAACAGG
rnacentral:rRNA from 1 species